GUUGCAGCAAGUUUUACUGGUGCUUAAAGCAGCAAUUUUUCUACUGAUUUCAGAUGAAAGCACAGUUCAAGAAUUGUGCAAGGACAUAAUAUGGUGACAAAUUACCUAGACAGAAAAAGUUAAGAGGCCAAUUCUUUACCUGACUGGAUUCCCAUAUAGCUACAAUUAGCAAAGACUGAAUACUCGAAGACCCUUUAAAGAAAAUGGAGUCUUUUCUUGCCCCAGAAAACCCCUGAGAGGUUCAAGACUAAGGUGGAUCUUAGAAACUCUUAUGUGGAAAACACAAAAGGAAAGUUUGAAUCUUUGAGCAUGUACACCUCUAACUCUCUGUAUCUGAAUUUCUUUCUUAUACAGCUCUUGCCCAAGCAAAGUAUACAUACAACUAUAUAUAUACUGACAAAGU
rnacentral:lncRNA from 1 species